ensembl:misc_RNA Metazoa_SRP Metazoan signal recognition particle RNA
GCCGGGUGCGGUGGCUCACGCCUGUAAUCCAAGCACUUUGGAGGCCAAGGCGGGUGGAUCACCUGAGGUCAGGAGUUCAAGACCAGCCUGACCAACAUGGUGAAAUCCUGUCUUAA